rnacentral:rRNA from 1 species
AUUGAACGCUGGCGGCAGGCCUAACACAUGCAAGUCGAACAAGUGGCGGACGGGUGAGUAAUGUCUGGGAAACUGCCCGAUGGAGGGGGAUAACUACUGGAAAAGGUAGCUAAUACCGCGUACCAUCGGCUGUGCCCAGAUGGGAUUAGCUAGUAGGUGGGGUAAAGGCUCACCUAGGCGAGGAUCCCUAGCUGGGCUGAGAGGAUGACCAGCCAAACUGGAAAUUAGACACGGUCCAGACUCCGCCGGGAGGCAGCAGUUGGGAUUAUUGCACAAUGGGCGCAAUCCUGAUGCAGCCAUGCCGCGUGUAUGAAGAAGUCCUUCGGGGUGGAGAUUACUUUCAGCGGGGAGGCGUGACCCGCAGAAGAAGCACCGGCUAACUCCGUGCCAGCAGCCGCGGUAAUAC